GGAUGUGAGGGUGAUCUGGCUGUGCCAUCUGUCACCCCAUUGAUCGCCAGGGUUGAUUUGGCAGAUCUGGCUGGCUAGGCGGGUGUCCCUUUCCUCCAUCACCGCUCCACGUGCGUCCCUCCCAAAGCUGCGCGCUCGGUGGAAGAGGAGGACCUUCCCUGACAGAAGAGGACCGUUCUUCUCGGUCAAGGGUGUACGAGUAGCUGCGCUCCCCUACUAGAGCCUCCAACAAGCUCUCAAAAAGCGGCUCCACUAGUGGACAGCCAAGAUCAGCUGACCCUGGCACAGGUCAUGCGACCCGCGGAUUCUUUGU
rnacentral:snRNA from 1 species